UGUAGAACUCGAGAUAUGGGCUAAACACUGAACAAUGUCUGGGCUGCAGGACAGAUUCCAACUUCUCUUUUGUUGCUACAAUUUGAACUUGAGAAUGUCCGUUUUGAAUCUUGUACUCUUCAUGAAAGUUUUAGGCCUAUGUCUUAGCUUUCUAUA
rfam:Populus trichocarpa scaffold_5_contig_163, whole genome shotgun sequence.